AUUUUAAUGUGUUAAGACAAUUGUUUCUAAUAUGUAAAAAUGUUACUUUCAUAUUCGUAUCUUUUAAUUCUUUGUGAUAUUCUGUUGCUCAUGCAAAGAGUUCUUAUAUCAAUUUAUCCUUCCCAAAAAUGAUUGGGAAAAAUAAUUAUAGCUUUUAAAUAGUUUAGGAUAUAUUGGUAUAUUCAUUAGUACAUGAGUAGAAUUUUCUUCUGGAAUACAUAAAAUCAGUACAUUUUUAUGGAGAGGAGGGGUCAUUAGUGAAUGUUCUGUUUCUUCUAUAAAUAUUUAGUUUAGAAUCUCUGUCUCUAUGGGGUAAAAGUUUAUAAAAUAUAUAUUCCUAGAAUACAUAUUAUCUACAUUUAAAUAGUAAUUUACAUUGAAUUGUAUAAUUUUUCUAUUUAUUCUUUAUGUUAAUGUUUGACUUUAAGUUCUUCUCUGCAGUGUAAACUGUUGAUACCUCCUUCUCAAGCUCUUUGUGUGAUUCCAUCUGUUUAAAGAAUCAUUUGGCUCCAGAGUUUGGAGAUUAGUUAAAAUUAGAUUUUCAGCAGAUGCAUAACCCAGGGAAGCACAGAAUUCAGUAAGAUACACAAGCUUUGCUUCAGUCUCUCCUGUCUCAGACUCAGCAUUUCCUGCUUCCUUCAUUUCCUGCUUCCUUCCUUCCUUCAGGAGCCCAUUUUCUUCCAGAUAUUGUGGAAAUUUAUCACCUCUCCCAAACAUUUUUAUGUCUCUGGAGUUACACAUUAGAACAUUGUCAUUGUUUUUGGUAAUUGGUUUUCUGAAAAUAAUUUUAACUCUUCAAAUAUGUACUGCCAUUGUAUCUACAGGUGAAGUGAUAAUUGUAGUUUUCUGGGGAAGUGAAGUCACAGGAUCACAAACCCACAUCUCAGACCUCCUUCCUACACACUCACUGGCUGUAGUGACUACAAACCAGAGCCCAUUCUCCAGCAGUAGAAGGAAAUCAGAUUGUUACCUUCCAAACACCUUAUUACAAGUCCUAAUAUUGAUGUGUUGUAGUGAAAAUAGACUGGUGCAGAACUCAAAGUGUUGAAUGGACCCCAUCCUAGACCCAUUUUCAGGUAGGGAAAUGGAAGGAAUGGAGUUUCUAACAGCACUCCUAGGCAUACAAAACAGAUUACUUUUUUAAUCUCAUCUAUUUCUAUCUUUCUGUCUUUUCCUUCUUCCCCCUCCCCAAACUUCUGCAGUCUCUCACGCUGUGAGUUGUGAGUUGUGAAAGGGAGUUUUCUUAGCUCAGUAGCUAAGAAUUUCACUAUAUUGGCUUAUCCCAUUGCACCUGCUGAAAUGCUAAAAGCAAAACUUUGGCACAUUAAAUAUAAGUCAGCCUGAUAAAAUUAAACUUCACAAGCUAUGCAGCUGCUGUGUACACAAAAAACAGGAUUAGAAUCUUUGUUGCUGACUGCUUAGAUACUCUAGUUUUACAUCUUUGUUCUUUCACUGGGCUUGCAUUUUGCAUGUUGGGCAAUAGGAAAAGAAAUUUCAAGAUUCUUCCAUCCUGCAGAAGCAAACGUGAAUCAUGAGGCUCUAUGCUUGCAUCUCUAUGUGUGUUUUUCUGUUUUUUGUUUGCUUGUCUUUGAGAUGGGUCUCACUCUUGUUAUCCAGGUUGGAGUGCAAGGCACGAUCUCGGCUCACUGCAACCUCCCCCUCCCAGGUUCAAUUGAUUCUUCUGCCUCAGCCUCCUGAGUAGCUUGGAUUACAGACACAUUCCACUAUGCCUGGCUAAUUUUUGUAUUUUUAGUAGAGAGGGGUUUCACCAUGUUGAUCAGUCUGGUCUUGAACUCCUGACCUCAGGUGAUCCACCUGACUCAGCAUCCUAAAGUGCUGGGAUUGCAGACGUGAGCCAACGCAUCUGGCCAUGUCUAUAUCUUAUAUUAAUAUAAAAUAUAACAAUGUACAGAUUAUUGUCUCUAGGGCAGCAUUGCAGCUUCAAGUACAGAGUUGACCCGAGUUCAACCACUGCAUGGGAUAAACCCAGGCCAAGUAGUUACAUUAUUUAGGUGGCUCAGUCCUCAUCAACUCUAUAAGGCUAGAGGAGGACCCAGACAUCUUUAGGGGUAAAAACAUCAUUUAAAGAAAGAACUUAUUAGUAUGCUUUUUUCUUCUCAGUUUUUCCCGGGAUCUUUGAAUAUUUUAUGACCAACUUUAUCUGCAAUGCUGAGAUAAAGUUGUGCUUAUCCCAACUUCAGAGAAAUUCAAGUAGAUGAACUUGAGACAGUGCUGAUAUAUAUUUUUAUAUAUGCAAAUUUCACUUCAUUUUAGGAAUUUCUACCUGUUUUUUAACUAAUGCAUUUUAAAAAUUUGGAUCAUGUGUCUUCAAAGAGCAAGGAACGGUUUAAGAAUGGAGGAUAUAGCAGUUAGUUCCCCUGUUCUCAUGGAACUUAUUCCAGCAGGGGGAAACAUUUUUUAAAUGCAGGCUGGGUGCCUGUAAUCCCAGCACUUUAGGAGGAUGAGACAGGAGGAUCAGUUGAGCCCAGAAGUUUAAGACCAGCUUGGGCAACAUAGUGGGGCCCCACCUCUACAAAAAACUUUGAAAAAUUAGCCCGGUGGUGGAACAUACCUUUAAUCCCAGCUAUAUGAGAGGCUAAGAUGGGAGGAGAGCUUGAGCCCAGAGGUUGAGGCUACAGUGACCUGUGAUCUUGCCACUGCACUCCAGCUUGAGUGAUAGAAUGAGAUCCUAUCUCUAAAUAAAUAAACAUAUAUUGAAACUCUAAAACAAGAAAAUAGCUAAUAGGUCACAUGAAGAUAGAGGCUAUGAAACCAUAAGGCGGGUGAGAGAAUGCCAGGUUGGGGGAAUUAGUGGUUUAUACAGGAUGGUCACUGAUGGCCUCUCUCAUGAGGUGACAUUUGAAUAGAUGAGACCUGAUGGAAGUGGAGCGAGCUGUGGACACAUUUGAGGGAAGAUCAAAUAUAGAUGCAGGAGUAACAACAUACAGAUGCAUUCGAGAAAAGUAAGAAGGCAGUGAAUGGCGAGAGUACAAGGAAAGGGAGCAGGAGCACAGGAAUAAAACAUGAAAUUGGGGGGUUGGAGGAAGCAGGGAUCUAAUGGUGUCUUUUAGGAGAUUUUAAGAAUUUUAGCUUUCCUUCAGUGUGAAAGGAACAGAGCAAUGGUAUACCUAAUUUGUAUUUUAAAAGCUCUGUUAGGUUACCAUGUGGAAACUAGGAUGCAGGAGGCAAGGGUGAAAGCAGGAAGACCCAUUAGGUUCUAUUGUGAUAAUCCAGGCAAGAAAUGGUGGCAUUUGCUCCCUGGUGGGGAUAGCAGGAGACGUAUAUGUGCUGCUGAAGUGAGAACAAGUAGAAGACACUGGAGGAGGUCAUCUUCUGAACAUAGGUUGAAGGAGGAAUCUGAAUUUUCUUUGGAGUAUGGUAUAUAGAAAAUGAAGGGAGUCAAGUGUCACUCUUUUUUUUUCUUUUUGUCUAACUGAUUGGUCAAUAAGUAGUAAUUCACUGCAGUUGGAGAGACUGGGGCACACAAAUUUUUUUGCAGGAGAAUCAGGAGUUUGAUUUGAGAGUUGUGUGAUUCACAAUGUCUAUUAGACACCAAAGAAAAAAUGUCAUGAAGCUGGGUGGAUGCUUGAAGUAUGGAAAUCAGUGAAGAAGCCUGGGCUACAGUCAUUGCUUUAAACCUUACAGUGGUUGACAUCAACUUAGUGUGGGUGUGAUGCAGAAAAGCAUAGAGGUGCUGUGACUGAGCCCUAAGCCUUGCCAAUGUCAAGGAGGUAAGAAAUCAGGCUGGGCGCAGUGGCUCAAGCCUGUAAUCCCAGCACUUUGGAAGGCCGAGGCUGGUAGAUCACGAGGUCAACAGAUCAAGACCAUCCUGGUUAACAUGGUGACACCCUGUCUCUACUAAAAAUGCAAAAAAAAUUAGCUGGGCUUGGUGGCGCAUGCCUGUAAUCCCAGCUACUCAGGAGGCUGAGGCAGGAGAAUUGCCUGAACCCAGGAGGCGGAGGUUGCGGUGAGCCGAGAUCCCGCCAUUGCACUCCAGUCUGGGUAACAAGAGCGAAACUCCAUCUCAAAAAAAAAAAGAAAAGAAAGAGAGAAAUCAUCCAUUGAUGCAAAGGACAUUAGCCAGGGUGUUAGCUUUCUAGGGCUGCUUUAACAAAGUACUAAAAUCAGGUGGCCAAAAACAACAGAAAUGUGUUGAUCUCAGUUCUGGAAGCCAGAAGUCUGAAAUCAGGGUGCUGGCAAGGCCUUGCUUUCUUUGGAGGCUCUAGGGGAGAUCCUUCCUUAGCUCUCUGGCUUUUAGAGUUUGCUGGCAACCCUUACUAUUCUGUGACUUGUAGAGGUCUCACUCCACUCAUGCAGCUGUCUUCUCCCUGUGUGCCUUCACAUCCUCUUCCCUCUUUGCAUAUCUGUGUCCACAUUUUUCUUUUUUAAAUAUGAACACCAGACAUGUUGGAUUAAGCCUUACCCUAAUGACUUCUUCUUAGGUUGGUUAAAUCUGCAAAGAGCCUGUUUCCAACUAAGGUUGCAUUCUCAGACACCCUGGGUUAGGACUUCAACAAAUCCUUGGAAACAAUUCAACCCUUAAAAGCCAGUAAGCUGGUAGUAGCAGAACCAUGGAAGCAUGAUGCUCUAGAAACCAAGGGAAGAAAGUGCUUUAGGCAGGAAGGAUGAGAAAACAAGUAUAGACAUUUUAUUGAGGAGGUUUGCAAAUAGGGCAUGAGAAAACUGGGAGUGGUAGAGCAGAAACCAGAGUUCUAAGGGGUUUUAAAAACAAUGGGAGAAAUAAAACCAUGUUUAUAUGUAGAGGGAGAAGAUAUUACAGUAAAAGGGGACAACUUCUAGAGUGAUGUCUUUUGUGGGCAAGAGGGUGUGGGAUCUAACCCUCCAGGGGAUUCUGGAUGUGCACUCAUCUUUGAGACCCACUGUUAAGAUGAUCUCUAGGAUGCUCUAAAACUCUGUGUCUUGUCAUGCGUUUUAUUCCAUUAGCUGAAACCUCCUUUUGUUUCAAAUGAUGAUUAUUGCCUCAUGUAUACAAAUAAUAAGUUGAAAUGGAAUGUGACUGCACAUAUUACAGAGAGAUGUAUGUAGGAGAUGGUAGCUCUCUAUUUCCGCUUUACUGUAAGAGGCUUAAUCCACUGGACCUUCUCUGUACACUUCACUUUCUGUCAUUGAGGAAUACGUCUUCAGCAUUGCCUGGGAGACCUGACUGCAUCUCCAGCUGCUCUUUUUAGAUGACCAUGCAUCAAACUUUUGUAGAGUGAAGGGAGUGUCAUGAAGACUUGAAAUAGUUGUAUUUGUCAGGUGUCAAAUGCUGUAUAAUGACUUAAUAUUGCAAUACCCCCAAAUUAUUUUGUAUCAGAUUUUUUUAACAUCAUAUUUCCUUCUGUUUCUUUGGAUCGUCCCUCUUUUCUUUUCUAUUAGUCUAGCUAGCAGCCUAUCUUAUUGAUUUUUUCAAAAAUCAAAUACAACCUAGUAUUUCCAUUGACAGUUUUUCCAAAAUAGAAUACCCAGUUUGGAAUAUCUG
ensembl:lncRNA